GAUAGUAUAUGAUAUAUUCUGGUAGGAACACAUUGAUUGGAUAGUGUCUGGUAUAUUCUGGUAGGAACACAUUGAAUGGAUAGUGUCUGGUAUAUUCUGGUAUGAACACAUUGAAUGGAUAGUGUCUGGUAGGAACACAUUGAUUGGAUAGUGUCUGAUAUAUUCUGGUAGGAACACAUUGAUUGGAUAGUGUAUGGUAUAUUCUGGUAGGAACACAUUGAAUGGAUAGUGUCUGGUAGGAACACAUUGAUUGGAUAGUGUAUGGUAUAUUCUGGUAGGAACACAUUGAUUGGAUAGUGUCUGGUAGGAACACAUUGAUUGGAUAGUGUCUGAUA